AUGGGAGAACACCACCUCCCGCCGGAGCCAGCCGACCACCACAAAGGCGGGAAGGCCAUCCACGCCGAUGACCUGAAGCCCGCCCGCGGCCGCCGCUACAGCUACUACGGCAGCACGGGCUCCCGCGGGGCCCUGAGCACCAUCUGCUCCGUCCUUCUGCUUCUAAUCCUCCUCGCCGGCGUCAUCGCGCUCGUGCUCUACCUCGUGUACCGCCCCAACAGCCCGGCCUUCACCGUCACCAACAUCGCCGUCUACUCGCUCUCCAACGUCACCGGCCCCUCCGCGGGCCUGCCGGCCGCGGGUGCCCGGGCGCCGAACGCCGUGGCGGCGUCGUUCCAGUGCGCCCUCGUCAUCCGCAACCCCAGCGGGCGGUCGUCCGCGCGGUACGACCGGCUGACGGCGUACGUGGUGUACCGCGGGGAGGCCAUCACGGCGCCGGCGGAGAUGCCGCCGCUGGUGCAGGACCCGGACAGCGCGGUGGUGGUGGCGCCCGUGAUCGGGGGCGGCGGGGCGGCCCCUGUGCCCGUGUCGCCGGAGACCGCGGCGGCCCUGGCCAACGACGUGUCCUACGGCGUGGUGUCGCUGCGGGUGGUGCUGCUCGGCCGCGUGCGGUUCGUGUCCGGGCCGUUCCGGACCGGGUGGCGCUCCAUGUACGCGCGCUGCGACCUGCUCGUCGGCGUCCGGAAGGCCCCGGGCAGCGUCGGCGCCGCCGGUGUCCCCGAGGCGCCGCUGUUCGGUAACCCCUCCUGCAACGUCGAUGUGUGA
rnacentral:rRNA from 1 species